rnacentral:rRNA from 1 species
GACAGAGGGGCAAGCGUUGCUCGGAAUUACUGGGCGUAAAGGGCGCGUAGGCGGGAUGGCAAGUCGGUCGUGAAAUCCCUCGGCUCAACCGAGGAACGUCGAUCGAUACUGCGGUUCUUGAGGAUUGCAGAGGAGACUGGAAUUCCCGGUGUAGCGGUGAAAUGUGUAGAGAUCGGGAGGAACACCGGUGGCGAAGGCGGGUCUCUGGGCAAUUCCUGACGCUGAGGCGCGAAAGCGUGGGGAGCAAACGGG